AGCAGCCGCGGUAAUUCCAGCUCCAAUAGCGUAUAUUAAAGUUGUUGCAGUUAAAAAGCUCGUAGUUGAAUUUCGGGAUCAAUAUAUCGGUCGUGCCUUGGUACGUACUGGUAUCAUUGAUUUCUCCCUUCUGACGAACCAUGAUGUCAUUAAUUUGGUGUUAUGGGGAGUUAGGACUGUUACUUUGAAAAAAUUGAGUGUUUAAAGCAAGCAUUAGCUUGAAUACAUUAGCAUGGAAUAAUGAAAUAGGACGUUUGACCCUAUUUUGUUGGUUUCUAGGAUCGACGUAAUGAUUAAUAGGGAUAGUUGGGGGCAUUAGUAUUCAAUUGUCAGAGGUGAAAUUCUUGGAUUUAUUGAAGACUAACUACUGCGAAAGCAUUUGCCAAGGAUGUUUUCAUUAAUCAAGAACGAAAGUUAGGGAUCGAAGACGAUCAGAUACCGUCGUAGUCUUAACCAUAAACUAUAGCCGAACUAGGGAUCGGAUGACGUUUAAUUUAUAAUGACUCAUUCGGCGCCUUAA
rnacentral:rRNA from 1 species